CUCGGUAGGAAGGGGUAAAAUCCUUUGAUCUAUUGAUGACCACCUGUGGCGAAGGCGGUCUACCAGAACACGUCCGACGGUGAGGGAUGAAAGCUGGGGGAGCAAACCGGAUUAGAUACCCGGGUAGUCCCAGCUGUAAACUAUGCAAACUCAGUGAUGCAUUGGCUUGUGGCCAAUGCAGUGCUGCAGGGAAGCCGUUAAGUUUGCCGCCUGGGAAGUACGUACGCAAGUAUGAAACUUAAAGGAAUUGGCGGGGGAGCACCACAAGGGGUGAAGCCUGCGGUUCAAUUGGAGUCAACGCCAGAAAUCUUACCCGGAGAGACAGCAGAAUGAAGGUCAAGCUGAAGACUUUACCAGACAAGCUGAGAGGUGGUGCAUGGCCGUCGCCAGCUCGUGCCGUGAGAUGUCCUGUUAAGUCAGGUAACGAGCGAGAUCCCUGCCUCUAGUUGCCACCAUUACUCUCAGGAGUAGUGGGGCGAAUUAGCGGGACCGCCGCAGUUAAUGCGGAGGAAGGAAGGGGCCACGGCAGGUCAGUAUGCCCCGAAACUCUGGGGCCACACGCGGGCUGCAAUGGUAUGACAAUGGGUUCCGAAUCCGAAAGGAGGAGGUAAUCCUCAAACAUUACCACAGUUAUGACUGAGGGCUGCAACUCGCCCUCACGAAUAUGGAAUCCCUAGUAACUGCGUGUCAUUAUCGCGCGGUG
rnacentral:rRNA from 1 species